AAAAUAUAAAAAAGACAAUACAUAACACCACCCCUCAUUCAACUUGUACUCAAGGACGAAGUUGAUUAAUGUGUCUUUUAACCAUUCCUUGUGGGGUCUGAACAGACCACAGCACAUCCCCAAUCUUCCUUUGUAUCACUCCAGCUACCCACUUGGGCUGGUGAAGGCCGUAACAACGGCACCACACGGCCAUUUUGAUUUUAAACUCUUUCGUUCGCGAUGAAGGAGGAGAUGGAGAAGGAGGACGAGGAGGAGGAUGUAGAGACAGAAGGUAUACAUCCAAUCACGUACGAAUACGGCGUGCGCCCAACAGCUCAGCUGGCGUGCUCCCACAUUCCAACGGCGUUGCCUGUAGGCAAACAAGAUUUCCUCAAGUUGCCCAUUGGACUGCAGAUGAUAUGGGGGAGAGAAGGAAUGGGAUACCCCCCCAUUCGGACAUCUUUGCAUUGAAAAAAUCAAUUGUGAAUUGUGAGCCAUAGUUCGAAUGUAUUUUCUUUAGGAAUCCAAAACGCCAAAACCACGCAAAAAGUUGCCUAAGCGUAGCCUCUGACGAUGUAUUCGUCACUUCUAUCCACUUGGACCCAGCAUCCAUUAGCAAGAAGGGAGUGAAUUGUGACGCCAGGGCCACAGCACUCUCCGGACAUGUGUGACACACUGAUACAAAAUCCUCAAAAUCAUUAUCGAAGCUGGGCCACCAACCACACUUCGAGCCACAGACUUCAUCUUUACAACGCCCCGAUGCGUCAAAUGCAACUCUUCCAUAAUAUAUUGGAGUGGUUUGUGGUCCGUCUUGACCUUGAACUGACGACCAAUCAAAUAUCUUUCAAAUUUUUUCAAUCCGCAAAUAAUUCCUGUUGCUUCUUUGUCAAUUUGGGAGUAGUUAGCUUCCCUCUUUGAUAGCUUUCUUGAAACAAACACCACCGGGCGCUCCAUACCAUUUUCCAACUGUGCUAGAACGACCAAGAGACCAAUAGGGGAGGCAUCAGUCGACAACACCAACAGCAGAGACGGUUCAUAAUGAGUGAGAAUAGACCAGGAGAAGACAAUGCCCUUCUUCAUCAAUUCGUGGAGAGGAAAAGCUUCCUCAGAUAGAUGUGGUAUAAAAUGACCAUAGUAUUGUACAAGUCCCAAGAACGAUUUCACCUCAGUACACGAUGCAGGAACAGGAAAGUCCAGAACCGGUCGAAUCAACUCUGGAUCCAGGGAUCGGCCACUUUAGGAAAUGCAAACCCCUAAAUAAGUUAACUCCUCGCCCAUCAAGAUACACUUGCCGGGCUUCAGACGACCUCAGCAUUCGAGAUUCGACUGAACACUUCAUUUAAAAUACGAAAGUGUUCCUCCUUACUUCUGAAGAAUAUGAGGACAUCAUCCAUAUAAAUCUUGACAUCCCGAAUACCACUUAAUAGCCUCUCUUGAGCUGCCUGCACAAUAGCAGGAGCCGAGGCCAGACCAUAAGGUAAUACGUUAUAUCUAUAAAGUCCUAAUUAUAUUUGUAUUUAUAACCAAAAACUCUUUUGAUUUUUCUUCCAAUUCAUAUUGUUCAUAACACCUCGAAAAAUCAUAUUUGGAGAAGAACUGGGACUGAGCAAAGUCCGCAAACAAUUCAUCUGGAUGAGGUAGUGGGUGCAACAUCUUGUUCACAACUGGAGAGAUGGUUUGAGUAAAGUUGGCAUAAACCCGAACACUUCCAUCUAGUUUGAGGACUGAAACGAUUGGAGAGACCCAUUCUGACGAAUCAAUCUUGGAAAUGGUACCGCGCUUCUCCAUCUCUCAGAUCUCCACAGUGACCUUCUCAUGGAGUGCGAGUGGCACUGAACGUGCUCUUAUGUAACGGGGACGAGCAUUAUCUUGCAGGUGGAUCACUGCUUGUAAUUUCCACACAGGAUUCCGUAGAAGCGCCAGCCGUACAUGCGUUGGUGGAAUUGCUCAAAUUCACCGACACGAAAUCUAGGCAAUCACGAAAACCAAGGAUUGGCUGUCCAAUAGAAAAUACAAUAAACUUACGAAGCACCGGGUCAGAACCAUUUAAUGCAACCAACAACCUGAUGGAGCCCAGAGUCUUGACCUUUCCCCCACCAAAAACCUCUACUGGACCCGUAUUCUUGAUCAUCUUUGACUUAUCAACAAGAUGUUUCGGAAGGCAUAGGCUCUAUCCCGAGUCCAUCGUUCAACUGGAAAGAGAUGGAAGGACUAAACGGCGCAGAUGACUGACAACAUAGUCUAAAUGGGCCAUCUUCCCACACUGGUAACACUCCUUGCCAAACGCAGGGCAUUUUGUCUUCUGGAAGACAUGGCUUCUUCCAAAAAACUUGCAGUUCCCUCUGUCCAUCUUUGGAUUAGCCUUUUGCGUCGACCACGUCCCUUUGGAGCGACGGAGACUUUUUGGCCCCUUAUACUCAAAUGCCAUUACAGUUUCACUCGAUCCCAUUUCUUUGGCGUGGCUGAUGGAGGUUUUUAUUUUCCUACUAUCUAUUUAAAACAAAUCCCUACGUCAUGAUCUAAAAGUAUAAAAAAAGACAAUACAUAGCACAUUUAACCAAAA
rnacentral:lncRNA from 1 species